rnacentral:rRNA from 1 species
UACGUAGGGGGCUAGCGUUGUCCGGAAUCAUUGGGCGUAAAGCGCGCGUAGGCGGCCCGGUAAGUCCGCUCUGAAAGUCCAGGGCUCAACCCUGGAAAGCGGGUGGAUACUGCCGGGCUAGAAUCCGGAAGAGGCGAGUGGAAUUCCUGGUGUAGGGUGGAAUGCGCAGAUAUCAGAAGGAACGCCGGUGGCGAAAGCGGCGGACUGGAUCUCUACUGACGCUGAGGCGCGAAAGCUAGGGGAGCAAACGGG